rnacentral:tRNA from 1 species
GCAUUAAUGGGGUAGUGGUAACCUGGGUCGUUGCCAUACUUCUUGUCUGAGAGAAAGAUAGCUUUAUAUCCCUCGACCCGCCGGGGGUUCGAUUCCCUCUUAAUGCA